GCGGUAGCUUACCAUGGCACCUCGCAGCGGGAGGCCCUUCGGGGUUACGAACGGCGAACGGGUGAGUAACACGUGGGUGACUGCCUUGCACUCUGGGAUAAGCCUGGGAAACUGGGUCUAAUACCGGAUAUGACCUGCCUCUGCAUGGGGGUUGGUGGAAAGAUUUAUCGGUGCGAGAUGGGCCCGCGGCCUAUCAGCUUGUUGGUGGGGUAAUGGCCUACCAAGGCGACGACGGGUAGCCGGCCUGGGAGGGCGACCGGCCACACUGGGACUGAGAACGGCCCAGACUCCUAGGGAGGCAGCAGUGGGGAAUAUUGCACAAUGNNNGGCUAAAGCCUGAUGCAGCGACGCCGCGUGAGGGAUGACGGCCUUCGGGUUGUAAACCUCUUUCGACAGGGACGAAGCGCAAGUGACGGUACCUGUAGAAGAAGCACCGGCCAACUACGUGCCAGCAGCCGCGGUAAUACGUAGGGUGCGAGCGUUGUCCGGAAUUACUGGGCGUAAAGAGCUUGUAGGCGGUUCGUCGCGUCGAUUGUGAAAACUUGCAGCUCAACUGCAAGCUUGCAGUCGAUACGGGCGGACUAGAGUACUUCAGGGGAGACUGGAAUUCCUGGUGUAGCGGUGAAAUGCGCAGAUAUCAGGAGGAACACCGGUGGCGAAGGCGGGUCUCUGGGAAGUAACUGACGCUGAGAAAGCGAAAGCGUGGGUAGCGAACAGGAUUAGAUACCCUGGUAGUCCACGCCGUAAACGGGUGGGUACUAGGUGUGGGGUUUUCCUUCCACGGGAUCCGUGCCGUAAGCUUAACGCAUUAAGUACCCCCGCCUGGGGAGUACGGCCGCAAGGCUAAAACUCAAAGGAAUUGACGGGGGCCCGCACAAGCGGCGGAGCAUGUGGAUUAAUUCGAUGCAACGCGAAGAACCUUACCUGGGUUUGACAUACACCAGAAAGCUGCAGAGAUGUAGCCCCCCUUGUGGUUGGUGUACAGGUGGUGCAUGGCUGUCGUCAGCUCGUGUCGUGAGAUGUUGGGUUAAGUCCCGCAACGAGCGCAACCCUUAUCUUAUGUUGCCAGCGCGUAAUGGCGGGGACUCGUGAGAGACUGCCGGGGUCAACUCGGAGGAAGGUGGGGACGACGUCAAGUCAUCAUGCCCCUUAUGUCCAGGGCUUCACACAUGCUACAAUGGCCGGUACAGAGGGCUGCGAUACCGUGAGGUGGAGCGAAUCCCUUAAAGCCGGUCUCAGUUCGGAUCGGGGUCUGCAACUCGACCCCGUGAAGUUGGAGUCGCUAGUAAUCGCAGAUCAGCAACGCUGCGGUGAAUACGUUCCCGGGCCUUGUACACACCGCCCGUCAUGUCAUGAAAGGUCGGGUAACACCCGAAGCUCGGUGGCCCUAANCCUCUU
rnacentral:rRNA from 1 species